AGUAAUGUCUGGGAAACUGCCUGAUGGAGGGGGGUAACUACUGGAAACGGUAGCUAAUACCGCAUAACGUCGCAAGACCAAAGAGGGGGACCUUCGGGCCUCUUGCCAUCGGAUGUGCCCAGAUGGGAUUAGCUAGUAGGUGGAGUAACGGCUCACCUAGGCGACGAUCCCUAGCUGGUCUGAGAGGAUGACCAGCCACACUGGAACUGAGACACAGUCCAG
rnacentral:rRNA from 1 species